UACGAAGGGUGCAAACGUUGCUCGGAAUUAUUGGGCGUAAAGCGCACGUAGGCGGCUUUGCAAGUCGGAUGUGAAAUCCCUCGGCUUAACCAAGGAAGUGCAUCCGAAACUGCAGAGCUUGAGUACUUAAGAGGAUCGCGGAAUUCCCGGUGUAGAGGUGAAAUUCGUAGAUAUCGGGAGGAACACCAGUGGCGAAGGCGGCGAUCUGGGAAGAUACUGACGCUGAGGUGCGAAAGCGUGUGGAGCAAACAGG
rnacentral:rRNA from 1 species